rnacentral:rRNA from 1 species
ACGAAGGGUGCAAGCGUUAAUCGGAAUUACUGGGCGUAAAGCGUGCGUAGGCGGUUUCUUAAGUCUGCUGUGAAAUCCCCGGGCUCAACCUGGGAAUGGCAGUGGAUACUGGGAGGCUAGAGUGUGUCAGAGGGUGGUGGAAUUCCCGGUGUAGCGGUGAAAUGCGUAGAGAUCGGGAGGAACAUCAGUGGCGAAGGCGGCCACCUGGGACAACACUGACGCUGAGGCACGAAAGCGUGGGGAGCAAACAG